rnacentral:snRNA from 1 species
GUGCUCACUUUGGCAGCCCGGACACUGAAACUGGAGUGACACAGAGGAGAUUAGCAUGGCCCCUGUGCAAGGGUGACACGCGAACUUGUGAAGUGUUCCGUAUUUUU